rnacentral:rRNA from 1 species
CCUACGGGAGGCAGCAGUGGGGAAUAUUGCACAAUGGGCGCAAGCCUGAUGCAGCGACGCCGCGUGGGGGAUGACGGCCUUCGGGUUGUAAACUCCUUUCGCUAGGGACGAAGCUUUUUGUGACGGUACCUAGAUAAGAAGCACCGGCUAACUACGUGCCAGCAGCCGCGGUAAUACGUAGGGUGCGAGCGUUGUCCGGAAUUACUGGGCGUAAAGGGCUCGUAGGUGGUUUAGUCGCGUCGUCUGUGAAAUUCCGGGGCUUAACUCCGGGCGUGCAGGCGAUACGGGCAUAACUUGAGUACUGUAGGGGUAACUGGAAUUCCUGGUGUAGCGGUGAAAUGCGCAGAUAUCAGGAGGAACACCGAUGGCGAAGGCAGGUUACUGGGUCAGUUACUGACGCUGAGGAGCGAAAGCAUGGGUAGCGAACAGGAUUAGAUACCCUGGUAGUCCAUGCCGUAAACGGUGGGCGCUAGGUGUGAGGGUCUUUUACACGACUUUCGUGCCGUAGCUAACGCAUUAAGCGCCCGCCUGGGGAGUACGGCCGCAGGCUAAACCUUAAAUGAAUUGACGG